rnacentral:misc_RNA from 1 species
AACAUCGCGCACCUGCGGGAACCUGCGGAAGGAUCAUUACAGAGUUGCAAGACUCCCUAAACCAUUGUGAACCUACCUUCUACCGUUGCUUCGGCGGGCGGGCCCAGCGCCCCCCCGGCCCCCCGCGGGCGCCCGCCGGAGGAUACCCAAACUCUUGACAUUAGUGGCCUCUCUGAGUAUUCUUUACUGAAUAAGUCAAAACUUUUAGCAAUGGAUCU